rnacentral:tRNA from 1 species
GGUGUUAUAGUGCAGUGGUAGCACGGUUAGCUUGCAGUAACCAGAAAAGUUGUAGGUUCAAUUCCCAGCUGCCACUA